UACGUAGGUGGCGAGCGUUGUCCGGAUUUAUUGGGCGUAAAGAGCGUGUAGGCGGUUUGGUAGGUCCGUUGUGAAAACUCGAGGCUCAACCUCGAGACGCCGAUGGAAACCAUCAGACUAGAGUCCGGAAGAGGAGAGUGGAAUUCCUGGUGUAGCGGUGAAAUGCGCAGAUAUCAGGAAGAACACCCGUGGCUAAGGCGGCUCUCUAGUACGGUACUGACGCUGAGACGCGAAAGCGUGGGGAGCGAACAGG
rnacentral:rRNA from 1 species